UCUGAAGUACCUGUUGCCAAAGG
rnacentral:miRNA from 1 species